UUUGUAUUACGUGCGGAAAUUGUUACUAUUUUCGGUUCAAAAAUGGUAACAAUUUCCGCACGUAUAAUAGA
rnacentral:miRNA from 1 species